rnacentral:rRNA from 1 species
CCAGCAGCCGCGGUAAUUCCAGCUCCAAUAGCGUAUAUUAAACUUGUUGCAGUUAAAAAGCUCGUAGUUGAAUUUUUGCGUUGCCCGACUCGGCUACUUGCCUUGUCUGGUUUCGCUUUUGGGGUUUUCCCCUUUUUACUUUGAGAAAAUUAGAGUGUUUCAAGCAGACUUGUGUCUUGAAUACUUCAGCAUGGAAUAAUAAAGUAGGACUUUGGUUCUAUUUUGUUGGUUUGUGAACCUUAGUAAUGGUUAAUAGGAACGGUUGGGGGCAUUCGUAUUUAACUGUCAGAGGUGAAAUUCUUAGAUUUGUUAAAGACAAACUACUGAGAAAGA